rnacentral:rRNA from 1 species
CAGAGUUUAUCCUGGCUCAGGAUGAACGCUAGCUACAGGCUUAACACAUGCAAGUCGAGGGGCAGCGGGAUUGAAGCUUGCUUCAAUUGCCGGCGACCGGCGCACGGGUGAGUAACGCGUAUCCAACCUUCCGUACACUCAGGGAUAGCCUUUCGAAAGAAGAUUAAUACCUGAUGGUAUGAUGAAAUUGCAUGAUAGCAUCAUUAAAGAUUUAUCGGUGUACGAUGGGGAUGCGUUCCAUUAGGUAGUAGGCGGGGUAACGGCCACCUAGCCUACGAUGGAUAGGGGUUCUGAGAGGAAGGUCCCCCANAUUGGAACUGAGACACGGUCCAAACUCCUACGGGAGGCA